UGAAGAGUGGGCAUUCUCCUGUAGAACUAUAAGCCCAAAUCAACACUGUCUUCUAUACACUUCCUUUGGUCAGGGUAUUUUGUCACAGCAACAGGAAGGUGACUAAUGCUCUUUGUUUAAUUCAUCAUUGUUCCACUGCCUGUCAUCACUGCAUCUGCAGCCUUGGGCUGGCAUGGCUGCUGAACCUCUGGAAAAAACUUGCAAAGGCCCAUGGGACAUCAAUAUAUGCACCAAUAUAGCACAGAUGAAAAGCACGAGAAGAAAGACACAGUAGCUUUCAGAGAUCAUAGACCUGGUGAGUAGUCAAGUAGAGACUAGAGCCAACUUCUGCUCUGAGUUCUGUCACCAUCUACAAAUGUUUUUUUCCCUAAUGUUUCCUUUUGUCUUCUGAAGACUUAGUUCAAUAUAAGUAUCACUGCUGCAAGCAAUACUUUCACGGUAUACACAAAUUCUAAUUAAAAUCAUGUAUGGAGGCCAUAGAAAAAUGACAAGCGG
rnacentral:lncRNA from 1 species